GUCCAGGCUGUUUCCUCUGCCCGUGAUGCCCUCACUUACUUGUUUUUUCUGGAGCUGGACCUUGGCCUUGCCUACCUCUCUCCCCUGGGGCCCUGAAUCCUUCCUUCAUAAGUGGAGGGAAUCUGUACAUGUUUUUUAGGUGAUCUUGCUUUUCUCAUCUCUAAGUUGGGAGUGAUGACAAUUCCCAGGGGUACAACUGGAGGUUCUGGGGAGAGUGAGAGGGAGCAUAAUUGUUGACCUGGACGUGACUGCUGUUAUGACUCAGAUGAGGGGCUUUGGGAGGAAGCAGGCGGGGAGCUGGGUUUGUUCAAAGUGCAUCCAAACUUUAGUUGUCAGAACAGGAGACAACAGAGGAGACAGUCAAAAGAUAGAACCUUUUAAAAAAUAUGUUCACUCUCCUUGAUUGUAGAACCUGCCCAGGAUGUCAUUUCCAGGCUGGGUGAUGUGAGGUUAGAGGGGAGAAAGUUUCUGUGGCACCUGGCACAGGGCUUGUUACACGGAGCUCAAUAAACAUGAGUUAUGACUGAUUUUUUUUUUUGUUUAGUUGUUCUUUCAUCAUGCCAUGCUCCCCUGGCACCUGAUGCAUAACUUACGAUGUCAGGUACCUUGGUGCCUCUCCGCUGUCAGAAGGGAAGGACAAUGGCGCUGACCUGUGGUGUUGUCAUGAAAACUACCUGAGAUGCUGCAAUUGCCAGAUCAGAUGCUCCGUGAGGAUCACCUGCAGGCGCCCCCUUCAGGCAGCGCCUCAGUACUGUCGCAGAAAUUUGGGGCCAUGUGUGAGUGGAAAUGUACAGCCACCACUCCUUAAGCUGCUUGUAGGGACGCGCUACCAGAACCUUCCAAGAAACACUUGCGUUUCUGGGGACUGCUUUUCACUGGGGAUCUGAUUAUUUUAUUAUGACCAAGUAGUAAAGGGAACUUGUCUGGAGCUUAUAAUUGCUGUCAAGUUGUUUUGUGUCACUCCAGGUGGCUGAUAAUGACUUCGUCCUGAAGAGGGAGUACAGGAAGGCUAAAACAGGGGAUGCUAUGUUCAUGAAGGCAUCACUUCCCCCACCCUCCAAGGUCUCCCCCUGCCAGCAAAUUUUAGGUGGCAGAAAGAGAUGAGACCACCACCACUGGCAUUGGGGUUUUGUAGUGUGAGGAGCCAUUUGAAUGAGGGAGCGUUGAGCAUCCUCUUCUGGGUAGCUGUUCCUGCUACCGGCAGUCUGGUUGGGCAGAAUGAGGUGGUGUGAUGUAGACAUAUCUGAAGGGUAUUAGUUGUCAGGGUGAUUCCAGACAUCGAAUUCUAGAGCAGAGGAAAGAG
rnacentral:lncRNA from 12 species